rnacentral:rRNA from 1 species
CCUACGGGUGGCAGCAGUGAGGAAUAUUGGUCAAUGGACGCGAGUCUGAACCAGCCAAGUAGCGUGAAGGAUGACUGCCCUAUGAGUUGUAAACUUCUUUUAUAUAGGAAUAAAGUGAGGUACGUGUGCCUUUUUGUAAGUACUUUAUGAAUAAGGAUCGGCUAACUCCGUGCCAGCAGCCGCGGUAAUACGGAGGAUCCGAGCGUUAUCCGGAUUUAUUGGGUUUAAAGGGUGCGUAGGUGGGUUGUUAAGUCAGUUGUGAAAGUUUGCGGCUCAACCCUAAAAUUGCAGUUGAUACUGGCAGUCUUGAGUACAGUUGAGGUAGGCGGAAUGCGUGGUGUAGCGGUGAAAUGCUUAGAUAUCACGAAGAACUCCGAUUGCGAAGGCAGCUUACUAAACUACAACUGACAUUGAUGCUCGAAAGUGUGGGUAUCAAACAGGAUUAGAUACCCGAGUAGUC